rnacentral:rRNA from 1 species
UACGUAGGGUGCAAGCGUUGUCCGGAAUUAUUGGGCGUAAAGAGCUCGUAGGCGGUCUGUCGCGUCUGCUGUGAAAACUCGGGGCUUAACCCCGGGCCUGCAGUGGGUACGGGCAGACUAGAGUGCGGUAGGGGAGACUGGAAUUCCUGGUGUAACGGUGAAAUGCGCAGAUAUCAGGAGGAACACCGGUGGCGAAGGCGGGUCUCUGGGCCGAUACUGACGCUGAGGAGCGAAAGCGUGGGGAGCGAACAGG